GUCUAUCCAGAGGUGAGAACUAAAUAUGCUGUCUAUCCAGAGGUGAAAAUAUAAAAUAAAAAAAUGUCAAUCCAGAGGUGAGAACUAAAUAUGCUGUCUAUCCAGAGGUGAGAACUAAAUAUGCUGUCUAUCCAGAGGUGAAAAUAUAAAAUAAAUAUACUGUCUAUCCAGAGGUGAGAACUAAAUAUGCUGUCUAUCCAGAGGUGAGAACUAAAUAUGCUGUCUAUCCAGAGGUGAGAACUAAAUAUGCUGUCUAUCCAGAGGUGAAAAUAUAAAAUAAAUAUACUGUCUAUCCAGAGGUGAGAACUAAAUAUGCUGUCU